CGUUCAAACACCGGUCCCCAUGCGACCACCGAAGUUAAGCAACGUCAAGUUUGGUCAGCACCUAGAUAGGUGACCACUUUGGAAUACCACGGACUGUAA